rnacentral:lncRNA from 1 species
AGCCAUGCUGACCAGCAAGCUAUUGGGAUACUUUGUAUGUGUUUGCAUUUGUAUAUGUAUGUAACCCUCCUUAAGAACACAAUCUUAUAAUGAACAGGAGCUCAAGAGAUUGGAGGAAAGACUUGAGGUCCUACUGAAGCAGAAGCAGAAGGUCAGUCAGAAAAUGGAUUUGGCAGAAAAGCUGCAGCAUCACUUUGGUGACUCCCUGAUGAGGUCCACACAGCUACAGCAUGAGCAGGAACAGGACACAGCCCAGCAUGAGAGCCACUUGAAAAAGGAGCUGCCACAGAAAGAGCCACCUGCUGAUCCCCAUCCCCAUUAAGUACUGAACUGCAGAGAUGCAAGGGAGGAAUUGCUGCACUCAUCUUGAAAACCCUGUUAAAAUCGGUGACU